rnacentral:tRNA from 1 species
AGUAAAGUCAGCUAAACAAGCUAUUAGGCCCAUACCCUGAUCAUGUGGGUGAAAACCCUUCCUUUGCUA